rnacentral:rRNA from 1 species
UACGUAGGGUGCGAGCGUUAAUCGGAAUUACUGGGCGUAAAGCGUGCGCAGGCGGUUUUGUAAGCCAGAUGUGAAAUCCCCGGGCUUAACCUGGGAAUGGCAUUUGGGACUGCAAGGCUGGAGUUUGGCAGAGGAGACUGGAAUUCCCGGUGUAGCAGUGAAAUGCGUAGAUAUCGGGAGGAAUACCUAUGGCGAAAGCAGGCUACUGGACCGUCACUGACUCUGAUCUGCGAAAGCUAGGGGAGCAAACAGG